rnacentral:rRNA from 1 species
UACGUAGGGGGCGAGCGUUGUCCGGAAUUACUGGGCGUAAAGGGCGCGUAGGCGGCCAGCACAAGUCAGUUGUGAAAUCUCCGAGCUUAACUCGGAAAGGUCAACUGAUACUGUGCGGCUAGAGUGCAGAAGGGGCAACUGGAAUUCUUGGUGUAGCGGUGAAAUGCGUAGAUAUCAAGAGGAACACCUGCGGCGAAGGCGGGUUGCUGGGCUGACACUGACGCUGAGGCGCGAAAGCCAGGGGAGCGAACGGG